UGUAGUUAAUGUUUGUCUGUUUUGUGUUUGUGCGGUCCGGGCUGAUGCUGGAGGCUCCAGCCACCACAGAGGCAGACGAUAAGGAGGUUGGUAUGAGUGAUCUGAACCAGGAUGUGAUUGGUCUCAUCUGGGGCCAGGAGGCCAGACGUCUCCUCCAGAGCUCCCGACCAGUCAGGCUCAGCGUGGUCCACCUGGCCGAAAGUCAGCGACAUAGAGGAGAAGGAGAACAAACUGCUGCAGCUGUGCCAGCGUUCCAUGGCUCUGCCAGUGGGCAGAGGCCUGUUCACUCUCUUCUCCAACCACCCUGUGUCAACAGAACCUAAACUCAACCUUACUGGUUUCUGUCUGAGAAGAGGCGUCUAUGUAGGGUGUCCAAUGAAAAAUGCAUAUUUCGACCAAUGGAAACAACGUUAUAGAAGACCACCACUACAUGUGAAAUCCUCAAGUCACUGCAAGAAGGCAACACCGCUCUUAACUUUUUGGAUAUAAUGUUAAUUGGAUAUAAUGUUAAUUGGAUAUAAUGUUAAUUGGAUAUAAUGUUAAUUGGAUAUAAUGUUAAUUGGAUAUAAUGUUAAUUGGAUAUAAUGUUCAUUGGAUAUAAUGUUAAUUGGAUAUAAUGUUAAUUGGAUAUAAUGUUCUGUUCAUUGGAUAUAAUGUUCAUUGGAUAUAAUGUUAAUUGGAUAUAAUGUUAAUUGGAUAUAAUGUUAAUUGGAUAUAAUGUUCAUUGGAUAUAAUGUUCAUUGGAUAUAAUGUUCAUUGGAUAUAAUGUUAAUUGGAUAUAAUGUUCAUUGGAUAUAAUGUUCAUUGGAUAUAAUGUUCAUUGGAUAUAAUGUUAAUUGGAUAUAAUGUUCAUUGGAUAUAAUGUUCAUUGGAUAUAAUGUUAAUUGGAUAUAAUGUUAAUUGGAUAUAAUGUUAAUUGGAUAUAAUGUUAAUUACAAGCCAUUACAAGCCAGAGAAAGACCCCCCUGAACGAUUAAGAACAUGAAU